AACAGCGAGUGACACGCGACGAAAGUUGCCUUCCGCAAGGACACUCGUAGAGGUGCUGCAUGGCUGUCGUCAGCUCGUGUCGUGAGAUGUUGGGUUAAGUCCCGCAACGAGCGCAACCCUUGUUUGCUGUUGCCAUCAGGUAAUGCUGGGCACUCUGCAAAGACUGCCGGUGAUAAACCGGAGGAAGGUGGGGAUGACGUCAAGUCAGCAUGGCCUUUAUGUCUGGGGCUACACACGUGCUACAAUGGCCGGUACAAACCGUUGCAAAACCGCAAGGUGAAGCUAAUCGGAGAAAGCCGGUCUCAGUUCGGAUAGCAGGCUGCAACUCGCCUGCUUGAAGUUGGAAUCGCUAGUAAUCGCGGAUCAGCACGCCGCGGUGAAUACGUUCCCGGGCCUUGUACACACCGCCCGUCACAUCACGAAAGCCGGUUGUACUAGAAGUCGCCCUACCAACCCGCAAGGGAGGAAGGCGCCUAAGGUAUGGUCGGUGAUUGGGGUGAAGUCGUAACAAGGUAAGCGUAGUGCU
rnacentral:rRNA from 1 species